rnacentral:rRNA from 1 species
GACGAACGCUGGCGGCGUGCUUAACACAUGCCAGUCGAACGGAAAGGCCCUGCUUUUGUGGGGUGCUCGAGUGGCGAACGGGUGAGUAACACGUGAGUAACCUGCCCUUGACUUUGGGAUAACUUCAGGAAACUGGGGCUAAUACCGGAUAGGAGCUCCUGCUGCAUGGUGGGGGUUGGAAAGUUUCGGCGGUUGGGGAUGGACUCGCGGCUUAUCAGCUUGUUGGUGGGGUAGUGGCUUACCAAGGCUUUGACGGGUAGCCGGCCUGAGAGGGUGACCGGCCACAUUGGGACUGAGAGACGGCCCAGACGCCUACGGGAGGCAGCAGUGGGGAAUAUUACACAAUGGGCGGAAGCCUGAUGCAGCAACGCCGCGUGCGUGAUGACGGCCUUCGGGGGGUAAACCGAUGUGGCCUGUGACGAGGCGGGAGUGACGGUAAUGGGUAAAGAAGCAACGGCUAACUACGUG